AUACACAGCCCAGUACUGGAGAGAAAACUAGGACAGCACCUCUGAAGAGAGAUCAGAGUUAACGUUUCGGGUUCGGUGACCGUUCCUCAGAACUGAUGAUGCUUCCAGACCUGCUACGUUUUCCGAGCAAUUUGUGUUUUUGUUUCAACCUGCGCUGCUGUUUGCAGAAGAGAUUUACAAAGAUGAAUGACCCUCUGACAGAAACCAGGGCGGCACGGUGGUUCACAGCACCAGGGUCCCAGUUACUACUUCUGAAACCCUAGGAUGCCGAUGUGGGAUAUAGAAACACAGGAACAAACCCCAAUUAAAAGGGUCUUAACGAUCAAUAUGGUAGGGGAGGCACAGAUGGAAGGAGUAGAUAAUGGAUUAAUAGAAAAGCAAAAUACCACAGACGUUGGAAACCUGAAAUAAAAACAAAGUGUUGGAGAAAUUCAGCAAGUCUAGCACCAUUUAUGGAGAGGGAAACAAAGUUAAUGUUUCAAAUCUGAUAUGGUUCACCUUCAGAAUAUUCUCAUGGUUAACUCUGUAGCAAUUAUUGUUUGUUUUAAAGCACAACCUGACAAAAAUAAUUAUUAUAGACUGGUUGGAAUUC